rnacentral:lncRNA from 1 species
CGUAGGUCUCACGUGACCAAGAGCUGACGUGUGCAGAAGUCCUUCUUGUUCUGGUCCUUGUUCCCGUCUGAGUACCAGCUCCCCAUUGCCCUGAGGGCUAGCAGGCCUGCGGCAGAGGGAAAGAGGUGGAGGAGAAGGAAAUUGUCCUGGAUUCUUGCAGUCUUUCCGUAGGUUGCGACACUACACCAGGCAAGAGAAGAGGAAGGAAAUUAACCCCAAUUGGUGAAGGUCGAUUUGAGGGUCUGCUGUAGCAGGUGGCACCACUUGAAGAGAGGGAGGAAGUUUCCUUGGAUCAGUAGAGAUCGCAAGGGUUGUUGGGCGUGGCACACCUCCAGGGAAGGGAAGAAGGGACAAACCGUCUGUCUGGAGGAGGUCCACCUCCAGUAUCAGCUAUUGUGUCCUUGAAGUGGCUGAAGACGAUCACCUUCCACAGCCUUGCACCCAGGCCCAUAGUGCUCCUCUCCCAGCCUGAGUGAAUACUCUGUUCCUUGGUCCCUG